GACAGAGGGUGCAACCGUUGUUCGGAAUUACUGGGCGUAAAGCGCGUGUAGGCGGCCCUGCAAGUCGGGUGUGAAAUCCCAUGGCUCAACCAUGGAAGUGCACUCGAAACUGCAGGGCUAGAGUCCUGGAGAGGAAGGUGGAAUGCUUGGUGUAGAGGUGAAAUUCGUAGAUAUCAAGCGGAACACCGGUGGCGAAGGCGGCCUUCUGGACAGUGACUGACGCUGAGACGCGAAAGCGUGGGGAGCAAACAGG
rnacentral:rRNA from 1 species